GCCGCGUGUGUGAAGAAGGCCUUCGGGUUGUAAAGCACUUUCAGUUGUGAGGAAAGGGAUGUAGUUAAUAGCUGCAUCCUAUGACGUUAGCAACAGAAGAAGCACCGGCUAACUCCGUGCCAGCAGCCGCGGUAAUACGGAGGGUGCGAGCGUUAAUCGGAAUUACUGGGCGUAAAGCGUGCGUAGGCGGUUUGUUAAGCAAGAUGUGAAAGCCCAGGGCUCAACCUUGGAACUGCAUUUUGAACUGGCAAACUAGAGUACUGUAGAGGGUGGUGGAAUUUCCAGUGUAGCGGUGAAAUGCGUAGAGAUUGGAAGGAACAUCAGUGGCGAAGGCGGCCACCUGGACAGAUACUGACGCUGAGGCACGAAAGCGUGGGGAGCAAACAGGAUUAGAUACCCUGGUAGUCCACGCCGUAAACGAUGUCAACUAGCUGUCUGUGGACUUG
rnacentral:rRNA from 1 species